AAAACGUACAAUACGGCUGAAAAUGCAUCCAUCAACCUACCCUAACGUGUCCUUCACAACUUCCUUCCGUCUAAACUGGAAGAUAUGCGCAACGCCCUAGCAACGCGACUGCGUCUGUCUAAUAAUACACUCGUUCUAUGUAUAGUGGUUCCUAAGAUUAGCGCGUUCAAGCAAACAAACAAACAAACUUUUCAGCUUAAAAUAUUAGUAGAGAUUAUAAUGCUGAAGAAUUUGUUUUCUUGAACGCGCUUAUUGAAAGGACUACAGGAUAAAUUGAAGAAAUUGUUUCAGUGUCAGAUAGGAAUCUUAUCAAUGGAUGCUACAUUUCUUUUUAUCCGGGUGCGAAGAAAACAUCGUGUAGUCUGGUUUCGUUCCCGGUUGUGGGAAUAAGGUUACCCAGAGGAUAAAAUGUGGAAGUGCUAAUGGAAGGUUCACCUCUACCUAACCCUUGGGAAAAUAGGCAUUAUGUUUUGACCUUGUAAACAUAAAGAAACCUUUAUUGUUGUGUAUAUUGAAGGCUGGUAAAAAUGGAUAUAAAGGGCGGGCCAGCUUUGUAUGUUAUUUUAAUUUCCGCUUAAUACCCAUUCAGGCUGUCCGCAAAAUUACGAGCAUUUGGACUCGUGCCAAAAUUUUGCAAACUUAAUAAAAAUAAACUUUUUUGGAAUAAGUUUCAACUUUAUGGAUUUGGUACGCCUGAGUAAAUUUCCAAGUUUCCUGUUCACUACCUAUACGAGUCGAGUUGUCAAUACCUGUUAAAAGUCCAUUCGCAGUAUUGACUCACUCAUGUGGUAUUGACAAUCAUAACUGGCUAACGGACAAUUUCCAAGCAAUACUUAGGUACGUAAGUAGUUAUUAGCAAGUAGGUAAUACUUGCUUUAUAAACUUAUUUGAAAACUUGAAAGACGCUUCAUUGUGUAUUUUCAAUUUAAUUCACUUUUUACCGUCCAUUUGAUAGACAAUGUACCUAGUCAAAUACUUAUUUUUCAAACAUCAAAAUUAAACCGACUUCCAAAAACACUAAAAAGCAAAAAAAAAAAAUAAUUUUA